rnacentral:lncRNA from 1 species
GUCUCUGAAGGCCUGGCCCCGGUCUGUGGAGCAAAUCCAGCUGCCUGAGCUAGCUCCCUGACCCGGGUGUUGAAUCCCUGCAGCUGCUCCUGCCGCACGUCCACCAGGAGGCUCUCGUCGUCCGCUUCGAUGCCGAAGGCCACGAAGGGCCCCGUGGCGAUGUCCCCCCAGUACCCGCGCGCUGCCACGCGCUCCCCACGCUGGAAAAGGAGGGAGAGAGGAGGCAGGUAAUCUAGAGAUGAUUUGCGGUGUAUGGGACCAUGUGUACAGGCUAUUUAUGCCUGCAUCCCCUUCGCCUCCUGUCAUGAUUGUAAGUUUCCUGAGGCCUUCCCAGCCAUACUCCCUGUACAGCCUGUGGAACUGUGAGUCAAUUAAACCUCUUUUCUUGGGGCCGGGUGUGAUCGCACCCGCCUGUAAACCUAGCACUUUGGCAGGCCAAGGCGGGCGGAUCACCUGAGGUCAGCAUCUCGAGACCAUCC